rnacentral:rRNA from 1 species
CCUACGGGAGGCAGCAGUGGGGAAUAUUGGACAAUGGGCGCAAGCCUGAUCCAGCCAUACCGCGUGGGUGAAGAAGGCCUUCGGGUUGUAAAGCCCUUUUGUUGGGAAAGAAAAGCAGUCGGUUAAUACCCGAUUGUUCUGACGGUACCCAAAGAAUAAGCACCGGCUAACUUCGUGCCAGCAGCCGCGGUAAUACGAAGGGUGCAAGCGUUACUCGGAAUUACUGGGCGUAAAGCGUGCGUAGGUGGUUGUUUAAGUCUGUCGUGAAAGCCCUGGGCUCAACCUGGGAAUUGCGAUGGAAACUGGGCGACUAGAGUGUGGCAGAGGAUAGUGGAAUUCCUGGUGUAGCAGUGAAAUGCGUAGAGAUCAGGAGGAACAUCCGUGGCGAAGGCGACUGUCUGGGCCAACACUGACACUGAGGCACGAAAGCGUGGGGAGCAAACAGGAUUAGAUACCCUGGUAGUCCACGCCCUAAACGAUGCGAACUGGAUGUUGGGUGCAAUUUGGCACGCAGUAUCGAAGCUAACGCGUUAAGUUCGCCGCCUGGGGAGUACGGUCGCAAGACUGAAACUCAAAGGAAUUGACGG